AGAUGGCUUUCCCCAGGGUCAGAAGAUUGUCUCAAGGUUCCUGAAUAAACUGCUUGGAGAAGAGCCUGGUGUUGCGUCUUCCUUGCUGGUCGAGGCGAACGUGACAAGGAAGGAAUAGCCUUUUAGAUCUACAUGCUCUGCACCUGGCUGUCAGCUAGCUGAGGAAGACCUGGUCAAACCCUUUUAUGAUCAACAAUUCUACUGUCCCCUAACAAAGAAAAAAAUAGCCAUUUCCUUGACAAUGAAUCAGAUUAGAGUAAGCAAGACAAAGGCCAGGUCAAAUCCCAUUACGUCCUUCAGAACAGCAUCACACUGAACAGAACUUCAAUCUUCUUACUUUCACGGGCUCCUGCCCAUCUAUAACAAAAACAAAAGCAAGAAGAAAGGAAACAAAACAGAACAAAACAAAAGCCUCUAGAGAAGCAGGAAGCAGUAUUUUUCACACCUGGCCUACAAUUUUCCAGACAAUAACAAGCUAGCAUGGCAGAUGGGGAGCAGGUUUGGAAA